UUAAAUUGAAGAGUUUGAUCAUGGCUCAGAUUGAACGCUGGCGGCAGGCCUAACACAUGCAAGUUGAACGGUAACAGGAAACAGCUUGCUGUUU
rnacentral:rRNA from 2 species